UCGCUGCCCGGAGCCGGGUCUCACAAAGGAUGUGGAAUCCUGGUCCGUGGAACCAGAGCACAGGCGGGAGUGUGACCCACGUGGUGAGGGGGAGCGGGCGAGGCCGGCGGGCUGGCCGGGGUCAUGUGUGGAGAACAGAGAACGGGAUGAGCAUUUUCCAGCAGAACAGGGAAGGAAACUGACGUGUGUAUGAAUAUCAAAAUGAAGAAGAAAAUACACGGAAAAGAGGCUGACCCCUGGGGACCCAGCAGGGAAGGACAAGCUGCUGCCCAGAGGCUGCAGCCAGGCCAGGUCAGGACAGGCCAGGAAGCAGACAGCUCUGACCCAGCCCCCGGGAGCUGCCCCGCGCCGUGGAGAAGAAGCUAGGCAACCUGGCCCACAAGUCCUGGUCCAACCUCGGGAAUUCUGUUCACGUAUCACCACUCAGUAAGGACGAUGACGCGACCUGCAGGAGCAGGGCCUGCACAUCCCCCGCAUUGCUGAAGAAGCCACUGACCACAUCCUCAUCCCAGGCUGUUCCCCAGCCACAAAAGUAAGCCAACCUCCCGCUGUCACCUCCUGCCCCACUCUGCUCCACAGGAAAAUCCACUGCACCUGGGCUCCCUGUUCCUCUCUGCUUCCUGCUAAGAGCUGAAAACUCAUCAAUACAGCCUGAGAAUCUGCACCGCGAUCUGCUGCAGCCACAGCACUCCCAGGGCAGGUGUAGGCAGGGGUCUCGUUCCUGGCGGAGGAGAAGAGCUGAGAGUGGGAGGGGACAGCAGCACAGAGCCCCGAGAUGACAGCACCGACCUGCGCCUCUGCCCCCACGC